GUGCUCACUUCGGCAGCACAUAUACUAAAAUUGGAACGAUAUAGAGAAGAGUUGCAUGGCCCCUGCGCCAGGAUGACACGCAAAUUCAUCAAACAUUCCAUAUGAAA
ensembl:snRNA U6 U6 spliceosomal RNA